rnacentral:lncRNA from 1 species
AAAACUGAAUAGUAACAUCACAUUGCUAUUCUCCAAAGCAUAAUCUCAAAUGGUUUUGUACCAUGGCUGUGUAUUACUUGUAAUGGAUGUGUUAGGAUAUGACACCUUUUUUAAAAAAUGAGCUGCUGGUUAUAUAAAGCAAAUGUCAUAUGACCAAGAAGCUGUGAUGUGCUAGUGUUUCUUUUUAUCAUAGUAUAUUCCUAGGCCAAAUAAUGACAUCUUGAAUAUUUUUUACAUUUAUUGCAGAGACCUAAAUUUUUGGAACUUCCCUAAGGUUUUUAUGUAACAUUCUGUUUCUAGCUUUUUAGUUUUGUUUUGCCGUACUGUAAGUUUGUGGAUAUUUUCACAUGCACUCUUAGAAAUAAGUUCACAGUUAUAUUUAUGGGGUUUAUCUCCCAUAACAUUGCGUUUGUACAUUUUCUGUAUAAAUUUAUUGUGAAUUACCCUUUAUCUCAGAAUAGUACAUCAAUGACUAGUUUUCUAAGAUGUCCUUUUUAUUGUGAAUAAAAUAUAAAAUUUAGAGGCCCUGUGCUAAGUCACAUAAAGUAUAGCACAUAACUUCACGUAGGUACAAAUAAACCAGUUUGCAGUGAACCGGGCCUUCAGAUUACCUCAAGUGACACAGUAAGAAACGCUUCUUGGGCAGGUGGAGGUUACCAAAUCCCCUACUAUGCACUUAGCAGGAUUUCACUUAAUUUACUGGAAAUGGAUUUUAAAAACAAAAACAAGUACACUGUAACAAGAGAAGGGAUCUGAUUUUGUUUUUGUCGUUUUGUUUUUUUUUUAAGUAGCUUCAUUUCUGAAACUGUGAUUUAAAAAAUUUAACUGUCAAGCACUCUUGGAUUUUGAACACAAAUCGCUUGCCCUUAAGUGUAACCCCUUUCUGUAAUCUCCCCAUCACCUUUUCUUUCCUUUCUGUUCAUCUCCCUUCCAUCAUCAUAUUUGAAAGUCUUUACCUCUCUUUCCUCCUUCCAGUUUGAGGAUUAAGUAAGGCCAGUUCUUACUUCCAAUUCAUUGAUCUCUUAAGUCUUAAUUUUUGUUGCUGUAUAAUCUGCUGGCAUAUUUUUAUACUCAAGUGUAGUUUUAUAUUAAAGAGAAAAGUGGUUGGACUGAAAAUAGUAUGCUGUAUAAUCCUUGUGUAACUUUCACUUUCAAAUAUUGGGUACCUAAAACAUGACUCCAGCGAUUGUUAUGUUUGCCUUCCUUUUUUUGUUGAAUUUCACAUUGUUUGGCUUUCCUCUGAAAAUGUAAAUCACGAGAGUCUAGACAGAUUUUUGUAAGUAUUUAGAAAGAUGUUAAAAACGUAAAAUGAAGAGUCUUAACUUUUUCCCAAUUGGGAGAAAAGUGCUUUAACAUUACUAUAAUAAUAUUCCAGGUUUGGAGGGGGUCCUGGGCCCUGUAAUUGCUCUUAAUAUUUGGACUUUUUAGACCAUGUGUUAUUUGCAAUCUCAGAAUGAUUGCUCCUGCUUUUUAGUUUAAAAAGAUUUUUUUUUUUUUUUUAUAAAAGUGCAAUACUCCCCUUGAAGUCUUAAAAACUAUGGUUAUUUUUUUUCUUCUUUUCCAGGCUAGUCUUUCUUCUGUUAGUGACAAAACACACACCACGCAUGCACACACACACACACCUCUCUUAGAAAUCAUAGCCUGUUAAAGGACACAAUAAGCAAAGAGAAAAACAUUUCACAAUCAAAAGAUUAGAAAGUGUAGAAAACACUGAUCUGAUCUCAUGAUUUUUAUUUAAGCUAAUUUCCAUUGAAAUUAGUUAUCUUUUGCCUCUGAAAUGUAUCUUAAAGGUGAAAUUCUGGCAGACUACAUUUUCUUCUUAGACUUUUGCCUAAUGCUCUAAGUUAAGAAACUAAUAUUUGAUAUUUUUAUUUCAUUUCUCUCAGUUUGGAAAUGAAUUUUAAAGUAAAAGC